AGGACGAACGCUGGCGGCGUGCCUAACACAUGCAAGUCGAGCGGGGAACCCCUUCGGGGGUUCCAGCGGCGGACGGGUGAGUAACGCGUGAGCAACCUUUCCUUCACAGGGGGAUAACGCAGCGAAAGCUGUGCUAAUACCGCUUAAGACCACAAUGUCGCAUGGCAAAGGGGUCAAAGGAGAAAUCCGGUGAAGGGUGGGCUCGCGUCUGAUUAGCUAGUUGGCGGGGUAACAGCCCACCAAGGCAACGAUCAGUAGCCGACCUGAGAGGGUGAUCGGCCACACUGGGACUGAGACACGGCCCAGACUCCUACGGGAGGCAGCAGUGGGGAAUAUUGGGCAAUGGGGGAAACCCUGACCCAGCAACGCCGCGUGAGGGAAGAAGGUUUUCGGAUCGUAAACCUCUGUCCUCAGGGACGAAGAAAUGACGGUACCUGAGGAGGAAGCCCCGGCUAACUACGUGCCAGCAGCUGC
rnacentral:rRNA from 1 species